UACGUAGGGGGCUAGCGUUGCUCGGAAUCACUGGGCGUAAAGGGUGCGUAGGCGGGUCUUUAAGUCAGGGGUGAAAUCCUGGAGCUCAACUCCAGAACUGCCUUUGAUACUGAAGAUCUUGAGUUCGGGAGAGGUGAGUGGAAUUCCCAGUGUAGCGGUGAAAUGCGUAGAUAUUGGGAGGAACACCAGUGGCGAAGGCGGCUCACUGGACCGGUUCUGACGCUGAUGCGCGAAAGCGUGGGGAGCAAACGGG
rnacentral:rRNA from 1 species